UCCUAUACAUGCAGUCGAACGCUUCUUUCCUCCCGAGUGCUUGCACUCAAUUGGAAAGAGGAGUGGCGGACGGGUGAGUAACACGUGGGUAACCUACCCAUCAGAGGGGGAUAACACUUGGAAACAGGUGCUAAUACCGCAUAACAGUUUAUGCCGCAUGGCAUAAGAGUGAAAGGCGCUUUCGGGUGUCGCUGAUGGAUGGACCCGCGGUGCAUUAGCUAGUUGGUGAGGUAACGGCUCACCAAGGCCACGAUGCAUAGCCGACCUGAGAGGGUGAUCGGCCACACUGGGACUGAGACACGGCCCAGACUCCUACGGGAGGCAGCAGUAGGGAAUCUUCGGCAAUGGACGAAAGUCUGACCGAGCAACGCCGCGUGAGUGAAGAAGGUUUUCGGAUCGUAAAACUCUGUUGUUAGAGAAGAACAAGGACGUUAGUAACUGAACGUCCCCUGACGGUAUCUAACCAGAAAGCCACGGCUAACUACGUGCCAGCAGCCGCGGUAAUACGUAAGUGGCAAGCGUUGUCCGGAUUUAUUGGGCGUAAAGCGAGCGCAAGCGGUUUCUUAAGUCUGAUGUGAAAGCCCCCGGCUCAAACUGGGAGGGUCAUUGUAAACUGGGAGACUUGAAUGGGCAAAAGAGGAGUGUGAUUCCCUGUGUGGCGGUGACAUGCGCAUAUAUAUGUAGGAGCACC
rnacentral:rRNA from 1 species